CCCUUAGAUGUUCUGGGCUGCACGCGUGCUACACUGAUAUUGCCAAUAUGUCAUUCUUAUCCGAAAUGGAUUGGGUAAUCAAGUAAUGAAAUUUCAUGCUUGGAAUCGGUAAUUGCAAUUUUAUCGUGAACGAGGAAUUCCUAGUAAGCACUAGUCAUCAGCUAAUGUUGAUUAUGUCCCUGCCCUUUGUACACACCGCCCGUCGCUACUACUGAUUGGGUGUUCAAGUGAGAUGCUUAGACCCUUGUUGCUUGGUUCAUUAUUGUGCUCCGAAAGGAAAAAGUUUCAAGCUUGAGUGUCUAGAGGAAGUAAAAGUCGUAACA
rnacentral:rRNA from 1 species